rnacentral:rRNA from 1 species
GAUGAACGCUGGCGGCGUGCCUAAUACAUGCAAGUCGAGCGAACGGACGCGAAGCUUGCUUCUCUGAUGUUAGCGGCGGACGGGUGAGUAACACGUGGAUAACCUACCUAUAAGACUGGGAUAACUUCGGGAAACCGGAGCUAAUACCGGAUAAUAUUUUGAACCGCAUGGUUCAAAAGUGAAAGACGGUCUUGCUGUCACUUAUAGAUGGAUCCGCGCUGCAUUAGCUAGUUGGUAAGGUAACGGCUUACCAAGGCAACGAUGCAUAGCCGACCGGAGAGGGUGAUCGGCCACACUGGAACGGAGACACGGUCCAGACUCCUACGGGAGGCAGCAGUAGGGAAUCUUCCGCAAAGGGCGAAAGCCUGACGGAGCAACGCCGCGUGAGUGAUGAAGGUCUUCGGAUCGUAAAACUCUGUUAUUAGGGAAGAACAUAUGUGUAAGUAACUGUGCACAUCUUGACGGUACCUAAUCAGAAAGCCACGGCUAACUACGUG